GCAACUUCUACUUCCUGUCUCUUGGAACAUUAGCUCCUGGAAUCCUGACAUCACUGAAGAAGUCCAGCUUCUUAAGUGCCAGAAAACCCACUGAAGAGGCCUGGAGAAUACAGAGAGGGGACGAGGCUCUGCUCCACACAGCCUUCUCACGGUCCCUGCCAAGGCACCCAACUUGUUGGCAAGCCUUUACGAAGUGGCAGCCCUGGGCACCCGAAACCCCUCAACCCAGAUCCUCUACACCCAAGAGAAGCACCGCCAGGCCCACCUAGUGAAGCACCUCUGCAGCUAAGAAAGCAGGACAGGCUCCAGCCCCGAGGAACAGCACCCAUGGGACGCUGUAAACAAGGAGCUUAGAGCCUGACUGGCCAAGACCCGAGGUAAGUGCUCUCACAAGGAAGAUGUGGUUAGGAGCGGGACUUGGGGCAUCUGGGCAUCCAGUUCCCAGUGCCAAGGAGGGAGGGUCUCCCCGCCACCCCUGCAACUCCCGGGCCCCACGUUACCUAACUG